AGAAUGAACGUUGGCGGCGUGGAUUAGGCAUGCAAGUCGUACGGGGGGCAACCCCCGUGGCGCAAGGGUGAGUAAGGCGACGGUAACCAACCCCACGGAUGGCUAUAGCCGCGGGAAACCGCGGGUAAUCGCCAGCGACGUCGGCCUGGGGCAUCCCGGGUCGACCAAAGGUGCGAUUCCGCCAUGGGACGGGCCGUCGUGGUAUCAGGUUGUUGGCGGGGUAACGGCCCACCAAGCCUGGGACGCCCACCGGGCGUGCGAGCGUGGCCCGGCACACUGGGACUGAGACACUGCCCAGACUCCUACGGGAGGCUGCAGUCGAGAAUCUUCGGCAAUGGGCGCAAGCCUGACCGAGCGACGCCGCGUGGAGGAUGAAGGCCUUCGGGUUGUAAACUCCUGUCGAGGGGGACCAAGGGCCGGCGCAGAGCCGGCCUUGAGGUAGCCCUGGAGGAAGCGACGGGCUAAGUUCGUGCCAGCAGCCGC
rnacentral:rRNA from 1 species